rnacentral:misc_RNA from 1 species
AACAAAACUAAACCCUGAAUCUACCCUUUAUUGGUUCUCUUUGUUCAUAUUUGGUUCCAUUAGUUAUUUAGUUUGAAUGAGCUCUUGUGAAUUAAGACAAGGUUGGACAAAACUAGCCACUAAUCUGUUUCCUUUCUGCUGCAAGUAGCUUUAAUUCCUUAUCCUGAAGCUAGAGUGGCUGCAGAUGACACUAUUUAUGAUAGUUCUGUUAGCGUAUGCUUUUCUUCCUAUGGGAAAUCAUGUGUACGUGUUGCUUUUUGGCAAAGCUAGUUUCAAUCGUGUGGUGCUUAAUGCUGCGUGACGAGAAGAUGAAGAGUGAACUGAGGCUUUCAUGCGUUGAAGAAAAUGGAGUUGCUCUGUUGUCAACUUCUUGUGAAAAGCUAUUCUUUGCUCACUCAGGGAUAAAAAAAAAGAGCAAUGGAAUAUGGUUGCAACGACCAUAUUGAGCAAUAGCCGUAGUAGGCUUGAAAUGGCCUGGUAAUUAUGGAUCUAUUAUGGAGGGAGUAGGUGCUGCAAUAAAUAAA